GGAUCUUUUUAUGUACAACUAACGGUUUAAGUUGUUUGUGUAAUUAUUUAUAGUUCCUGCAAAUAUCAGCACGACACCAAAUCAAUAUAUUUAAAUAUGUUUGAAGUACUUUUCCAGUUUAACCUCUUCAUGAAUAUAUAGUUAUCAAAAGUACCAGGAUUAUAAUUUUAUACGCCAGACGCGCGUUUCGUCUACAAAAGACUCAUCAGUGACGAUCAGAUCAAAAUAG
rnacentral:lncRNA from 1 species